GACCGAGGAAGGCUGGGCCCUACCAGCUGCCGUACAGCAUAGCGAGCUCGUACUGGGGGAGCCGGAGCCGGAGCCGGGAACCCCCCCCCGCCAGUGCCCAACGAUCGCUCUGCGGAAGGCUGCGGGGCGGGGCACAGAGCUCGGGGCCGCGCUGGGCGUAUCCAACGGGGGGGCGGGGCUGCAUCACGGAACCCGGGCUGAGGGAGUGGCCCCGCCCCGCCCCGCCCGGAGUCCCGGGGAGCAUCAUAAGCACGUGACCAACCUUCAGCUUUGCAAAGAAAUGAAAUAAAAGUUCAUUGGGUACAGCGGCAGUAGGAACUGAUUUGCAUGAUUGCCAGAGCACCCUCAUUAAGUCUCUCUUCCCUGACCUUGCUUGGAGCAGAGCUCUCUCAGAGGACUCAGUACUGAAAUCCCUGGCCAAGGUUUUGAAAAACAACUUAUGAUUUAAGACCAUCGACGGAAACAGUUCUGGAUGCCAGUUAUUUAAUUAAUGCCUGUGGUGUACUGGACUAUGUAAACUGAACCAAGAUGCUGGAGUCCAACUGUCUGUACCUCUAAAUGGAGGAUAUUCAUCCUAGAGCAUUAGCAGCAGCGUCCAUUUUGCUGUAUGAAGAAGCAGAAUGAGCAAUCCUGUGGCAUCUCUCUCUCCCUUUCACAGAGACUAGUUGCUGUUGCUGUUCUUUUUUCUUCAUCUGAAAGAAAAAUAAUUUGGAGUGAAAAAAUACAUGGUUUUCCCUUGAGAAAUGGGGAUAAAUGCAAGGCCCUUGGGGUCAUGCUACAACCUCAUCUGGCUUCUGACACAAGUUUCCAGGAUUUGAAAAAAAGCAGAGCUUACUUUUUCCUGUUCUAAUCUUCAACCCAGAAUUCCUAGUUAAAAUUCUGCUUCCUUACCUGCAUUUAAAAGUUUAUGGAAAAAGUUUCCCAACUCUGCAUUUGCAUUUUGCAUCUCUACACAGAUGUGUUUCUCCAAGAAUAGAAUUUCACAUCGUGCUCACACUCGCAUGGUUUGUUAUUUUCAUCAGGAGGCACUUAUAAUGCAGAAAACCUGAGUGAGUGCCUUUUGUGGAAAAAUUUAGGAAUGAAGAACAUGUUUGUGACAUCAUUCAAGGGAAACAGUUAGAAGAUAUGACCCAUGAGAAGUGUUAUGCAACACUCCACGUUGGCCAGUGGAAACUGUUCCCAGCCAAGACACAGGUCCAUUUUUCAUUUAAACAGAAGGCAAGUUAGCCCAAUACAGAAAGUUUUUUAAAAUAAAAUCCAUCUGUGACCAAGGCAGUGCUCACUGGUUAGCAGCAAUUUGCACAUUCAUAUCUGGCUCUGUAUUUCUACUGCUCAUAACUACUGAGAUCAUUGCAGAAGUACAUUUCACCUUUAGAAAUGCAAAGCACUUUAAUUAUAAAACUCUGUUUAUCCCAUAAGAGACCUAUUUUGGCCUGCAGUUGGAUAUGACUGGCAGGGACCAGUACAUUCACUGAGGAAAAAUCCAACCCAUUUGCCAGUCCUAAUGGACACUAGGGUCUAGAUCAAAGAUAGUCUUAAAGGUGUCUUAACAAAUGUCAAUCACACUGCUGGGGGGAUGAUAUUUUUCACAUCUUGUUUGGAGAACUGCUGUGUCCAGCACCUGAGCCAAUAUGAAUGGGAGAAUCUUAGUGAAUCCAGAGUUUCACAAUGACUGGAUCAGCUCUGGAAGUUAAGAUCUGAAUGUGUUUAUCUUCUGUUAGCGUAGCCACAAGACUGGUUUAUUGACCAUCUGUAAUCCAGUGCCCCUUUACACUUUACUGCUAGCUCACAGGCAAAGGUGGAUCCAGAAGAGUGCGAUGGUGCAGUCACACUCCACUUCCUCCACUGCCCCCAGUUGAUGAUGUAGGUGCAGGAGGAGCUCCAAAGUUACUGCUUCCCCACUCUAGCCACAGAUUGUGGCCAUUCAGGGCACCAGACAUGGCAGGAGACAGAAGCAGUGGUGCUUGGGCUCUUCUUUCCUCCCUGCCCGUCCUAUCAAGUGUCCCCUGCUUCCUGGGAGCAGGCACUGGAAAGGAACCUGCCCCACACUGCCACAAGUGUCCCUGGCUGUCUGGCGUGGGAGGAUCCACUCUUGACCCACUCCUGCUGUGCAGUGCAGGAAGCAGCUGUGCACAGCUGUGUGGGGAACCUGGCUUAGCUAGGGACAAUGGAGACAGCAUGCCAAUUCCUCCUUCCAGCACCUGCUCCUGGCCAGUGGGGGACUGUGAGGGAGUGGUGUGGGGAAGGAGGGUACACAGGGAGCAAGGAUGGGAAGGAGGAAAGUGUGUUGCUGCUGCUGUUUCUGACCAGGCAUCCCAUGCAGCUGCUGUCUACAGCCCCUGGUUCUGGCUCUCCUCCACAACCUAAGGUCAACAGGGGACAAUGACAAUAACGUCAGCAGGAGGUUGGUCCCCCCAUCCCCGUGCUGACCCAGGGGCUCGAGCAAUGCCUCAUCCUUAUCCCCCCCAUUGCCUCAGGUGCAGUGUGCUCCCCACCUUUAGUAAAUCUGGGAUCUGUCCAUGUUCACAGGUAAUACAAUCAUUAUUUUGGUUAGGGCAAAAGAGAUUUAACCAAGUGGAAAUUGCCUAUAGGCUCAGAACCAAAUUCAGCUCAUCUACUCUGACUUGCACUCAGCAGCUGAAGAUGAGAGUACAGAUUCUCAGUUCCUAGCCUUCUUUUCUCCUUCUAAAGUGCUCUUCUGCCUCCAAGACCCUUAUUUGACCCUUCUACAUAUUGAUAUCUAUUCUGCUGUUCCCAUGCCAUAUUCCUCCUUCCUUGCCAGCCUCACAUAAUCUCUUCUUUCUUACUCCAGUACCCUGCCAGCUUCCAGCAAGGCGAUUCAUAGGGCUGUGCAAAACGACUGUGUUUUGAUUCAGUUUCAGAUUUGGCGAUUUCAGAGGACAGCGAUUCGUUUUGGUGUUUUGGAUCACUGUCCUGUUUCAUUUCAGCCAAAUCUGUUUCAGAGAUUUGGCUCUGCUGAAUCUCCUCCCAAUCUGUUUUGAACAGGCGGCAAGGGAAGCUUUGCACAGCGCUACCCAACUGUGCGCGGCUGGGGGCUGCAGGUCCUCAGUGGGAAGCAGGACACGGCCAUGGGUGGCUCGUCCAGGGGAGGAGGAGGGCUGCUGCCCUCUGUGCACAUGAGGAGACCCCUGGGUCAUGGGGCAGGGAAGCAGCUCAGAGCAGGGAGAAAGCCUGUUGGUCCCUGCCAUGUGACUCAGCUCUGCAGGGAACAGAGGCAGCAAAGAGACCCCGGCACAGAUCUCUGCUGACUGCGGAGCCAGAUCGCGCAGCAGAAACCAGCACUGUCCUGCCAUGCAACCUGGCUCUGCAGGGAGCGGAGAUCCUCAGCAGGGUCUCCUCACCGCUACUGUCUGCCCCACACAGCCCUGCAUUGCUGGGGCAGUGCAGGGCGGGCAGCGGCGGUGAGGAGACCCCCCAGAACGGAUCUCUGCUCCCUGCGGAGCUGAGUCGCUUGGCAGGGCAGCAGCAUACAGCUAUUUCCCUGCAAGCCCAGCUCCAAAAUUCUGAAAUUUUCCGAAACAUUUUCAAAACGUUUUGGAUGCCUUGUUUGAUUUCGGAUAUGUUUCUGAGCCUUCCAUUUCAAUUCAGAUUCGGUAUUUUGGGUGCUGAAACGGCCUGAAACACCUCCAAAAUAAAAACGGCUGCUGAAAUUUGCACAGCCCUGCUGGUUGGAUAGAGGCCCACACCCAGGUGGGAUGGUUAUGUCAGGACAGAGCCCAAUAAGAGGUUCCAGCUUUGGGAAGGCAGAUGGAAUUUACUCAUCACCCACACUAGCAUCCUUGAAGUCUCUCCUAAAACCCAGUUCCAGGUGUUUCCCCCUAGGAAAAGGCAUCGUGUCUGAGUUAGGAAAGCCAGAAAAAUACCAAGCGUUAAGACACACCAAGUCCACAUUCUCCUUAAUGCUUCCAUACCACCCCGCAUUAAUGGGAGUUACACAAUCACUGCAGAAUGUACCCAUUUAUGAAGACACAGGAUAAGCAUUUCCCAUUGACACACUUCCUCUGCUUGGCCUGUACCAUGGCUUUAGAGUGUGACCCUGAUAGGUGACUCACAAGUAUAUUGCCCAUAGAUUGGAUACUAAAUCCAAGAACCAGUGCAAACCCUCCUGAAGUCUAUAGGAAGACUUUCACUCACUUCACCCAGCUUUUGUACAAGGUCAUUUACUGGGAACAACCAUUUAUUUCUGCCACACUCGUUCAUGGCCAUGGAGAUCAGCUGGGGAGAAAUACCCAUGGAAGGUAUUGCUGUUUCCAAUGGACAGCAUGCUUCUUGGAGCUAGAUACCCUGUGGUCCUAUUUGAGGAAGAUCUCGCCAAGUCAUAAUCUAGGAUGGAUCAAGGCCCCUGCCUUCAUCUUGCAUUUCAUGAUUUAUAACCCCUGUCAUUGGAGUGAAGGGGUGUGUAUUCAUUCAUGCAGGGUGAGACUUUCAAAAGAACUUGGCAUCAGUUUAACUUUGCUCUCAUUGCAGUACGGCUGGGCCAGCACUGAGUGCUUCUGAAAAUUAUACCUGUGACCUUUUGAUGUUGCAGUGGACAUUGAUACACACAGUGCACAACUCCCCUCACCUUAUAGUCGGUAUCACUAACAGAGCUGUUUAGCAACGGGCCUUGUGUUAAACACACAAAACAUGCCACAACAUCUCCACUACUGUGAAGGAUGCUUCAUGAAAAAAAGACAGCAAGACCAUGUUUUGUCUUCCACCCAGUGAAAAGCUUCUUUUUGUUAUGGAUUGGCUUGGACAUCUCUGGUUGGUAACUGCAUGAAUGGCAUAAAUGGGCAACUCUACCUCUGCUGGCAACAAACUUUAUCUUGUAAUCAUUUAAAUCAAAUUACAGAACUCCUUUGAGCUCCAAGGAUAAAAAACCAUGAGUUUCCUGCCUAUAUUAACUACACAAAAGAUAGGAGAAAGAAAGCGUUACCAUCCCUAGUUUACAUAUGGAGAACUGAGAUCCAGAAAAAAUGAAUGACUUACCCAAAUGUGACUGAGCCCGUACCUACUGAAUCACAGCCUGGUGCUUCAUCAAAAAUGCCUUCCUGUUCAACUAGAUAUUGGGCACAACUGCAAAAGCUCAUCCUUCCUAGAUAGACACUUUAACUAAGUAGCAGUAACAUAACUCUCACUCUGCUCUGUUGAUUUCCACUGGGAAGCUCCCAGGGGCUCCAAAACUCUUAUUCUCCCUUGCAUUGAGGCCCUUUACAGUGAGGUGAAGAUUUUAAGGGGUGUUUGGGCAGAUAAACUUUAGCUUUAGGCUAGAGAUCUCCUUACUCCAGAAUCACUUGGCACACUCUUUUUCUCAGGCAUGUCUCCCAUGGAAGUCAAUGGGCCCAAGUCCUUGUUUCUUCCAUUCCUGUGCCAGGUUAGAGUAAUUUCAAGGUAAGAGCCUCAAAUUAAUUUCCCUGCCCUUGCAGUGUGUGGAGACCCCCCCCCAUCUUCUUCAUCAUAAUGUCCCACCAGCUCAGGCCUUCAAGAUCCCAGCCAGCAUCCUCCUGGAGGCUAGACUGUUCCCAAAGGGUUGCCAAGUCAAAAACUCUGGAUCCUAAAAAUCACUAAGCUUUGGAGUUAUUUUAAAUUUUAGCCUUGGGUCCAGUCAUAAUUUUGCAAAAUAGCCCCUACCUGAACACCCCCACGUAUGGAGGAAUUUAGAAUCCAGAUCUGGGUAAUAUGUUAGUUUGAGACCAUCCAUAGCUCUUAAAAUGGAGUAGGUUGAAAUCUUGUAGUUUGUGAAAUUUGUGUGAAAAAAAUUCAACACAUUUUCACAACACAUUUUUCCUGAUAUCCAUUUUUCUUUUGACUAAUCACAAAACUGGCCAAUGUUUUCUAAAUAUUGAAAUGUCAUUUAAACGCUGGACAAUGUAUAUUUUUGGAACAUUUGAUGUUUGUAAGUAAUGUCCAUAAGAUCAAAGGUAGCACGUAAAGGCUAGGUAUCAAAAUUAUCCUUGUGCUAACAUUUAUUCUGCUUUAUCAUUUGAUAUCAACUGCCAGAUAUUUUUCAAAUUUAAGAAUGAAUUGUAGAAAAGUACAAAUGAAAAGCGUUGUGUUUCUUAAAUAAUUUAUUUUGAAUAUAUUAGCCAUUAAAUAACAUAGUAUAUCACAAAAUGUGAUGUUACAUCAUAUUUGUUCAUAGCCAUACAGAUAAGAAAUCACAAAGCACAAAGAGAUGUCCUGACAAAAAAUCUUUGGUAGAUAGAUCUAGUCACACACAUGCUGUAUAUCAGAAUAGGUACAUCCUAAAUGAAAAGAAACCUGAAGCAAGAAAAUGGAGCUUUUUUUCCCCCCAAUAUAUAAAUAACAAUAAGCAUUUCAGUUACAUUAUUACCAGGCAUUUUUUUUGCCUUUCCAUGACACAAUAUUAUAUUCAAAGGACAAAUGCAUUUUGAUUUUCUUGUUGAUAAGGAAAAGAUUUCCAAGGGUAACAAUUGGCUGAUGGACAGAAUAGCACCAACAUGCCUUUGUGUUUAGACAUGCUUGGCCACAUUUAUCCCCAGUGUAACUCCAUUCAAGUUGGUGGAUAUCCAACCUGAGAUGGACCUCUCAACUGGAUACUGCUUAAGACAGGACCCCACCCCAUACUCCUAGCUCUGCUAGUAACAUACACCCUUAUGAAAUAAGCAUGGGCUCAGAUAGUCUUGUAGCAAUACGUACAGGUCUAAAAUGCUACAGCCAUGAUCAUAGGAGACCUCAUUCUGGGAACAUACCAAAUAGGU